AUGAGGCAGGAGGAUCAACAGACUAAUGCCUAUUUGGACUACAGAAUCCGCUUCCGGUUGGCUCCGGCUGGAAGGUUGAAUACUGAGUGUCAUGGACAUGGUCAUGGUCAUAGUAAAUUGGAGCUUCCAGAUUACAGACAAUGGAAAAUAGAAGGGACACCAUUAGAAGCUGUCCAGAAGAAGCUGGCUGCACGGGGGCUAAGGGACCCAUGGGCCCGCAAUGAAGCUUGGCGAUACAUGGGUGGCUUUGCAGAAAAUGUUUCCUUCCUGGGUAUAAUAUUUAAAGGAUUCAAAUGGGGAUUUGCUGCAUUUGUGGUAGCACUAGGGGCUGAAUAUAUCCUGGAAUCCCAGAGCAAGAAUAAGAAGCAUCACUGAAGAGAAUAUCUUUAAAUAUCUUGUCACUUC